GGGACAUUGUGAGCAUACAGCAGGAUAACUGACAUUUGGAUUGCUGGACACAGAAAUAUCAUCUACAGUAGCUUGUUCAAGGAGCUGCAAAGCAUGAGAAAGUCGUGAAAGACAUGUCCAAUGACUGAGCAUUAAAGCACAGGCAAAUUAAAUGACUUCUGUAGGUUGCAAGACCAUUCAGUGGCAGGAACUGACCUGGCAUUUUUGUGGUUUACAUUCAAUGUCACAACCUCUGUGUCAACACUGUUCUCCCAAGCAAGACAAGAAGCCCAGGUUGAUUGAUGUAGCCUUCCCUUAACUGACUUUCGAAUCUACAAAGUCUUGGACAGAGCUUCAAAAGCUGUCAAUUUACUAUUGUGAUAUAUGGCCGGCCAUUCAUCCCGGACAAUACCCCCAGGCUGCC